rnacentral:rRNA from 1 species
GAUCAUGGCUCAGGAUGAACGCUAGCUACAGGCUUAACACAUGCAAGUCGAGGGGCAGCAUGGUCUUAGCUUGCUAAGGCUGAUGGCGACCGGCGCACGGGUGAAAGUAACACGUAUCCAACCUGCCGUCUACUCUUGGCCAGCCUUCUGAAAGGAAGAUUAAUCCAGGAUGGGAUCAUGAGUUCACAUGUCCGCAUGAUUAAAGGUAUUUUCCGGUAGACGAUGGGGA